rnacentral:rRNA from 1 species
GACAGAGGUGCCAAGCGUUAGGCGGAAUCACUGGGCUUAAAGCGUGUGUAGGUGGAUUUGUAAGUACCUUGUGAAAUCCCAUGGCUCAACCAUGGAACUGCUCGGUAUACUGCGAAUCUUGAGCCACUUAGGGGCUACCGGAACAAAUGGUGGAGCGGUGAAAUGGCGUAGAUAUCAUUUGGAACGCCAAUGGUGAAAACAGGGUAGCUGGGAGUGUGCUGACACUGAGACACGAAAGCCAGGGGAGGCGAACGGG